rnacentral:rRNA from 1 species
UACGUAGGGUGCGAGCGUUGUCCGGAAUUAUUGGGCGUAAAGAGCUCGUAGGCGGUCUGUCGCGUCUGCUGUGAAAUCCCGAGGCUCAACCUCGGGCCUGCAGUGGGUACGGGGCAGACUAGAGUGCGGUAGGGGAGAUUGGAAUUCCUGGUGUAGCGGUGGAAUGCGCAGAUAUCAGGAGGAACACCGAUGGCGAAGGCAGAUCUC